AACGAACGCUGGCGGCAGGCCUAACACAUGCAAGUCGAACGCGUGUCGCAAGACACGAGUGGCGCACGGGUGAGUAAUACGUCGGAACCAACCCAGAGGUUCGGAAUAACCGCGGGAAACUGCGGCUAAUACCGGAUGUGUCCUAAGGGAGAAAGAUUUAUUCGCCUUUGGUACGGGCCGGACGUCCGAUUAGCUAGUUGGUGAGGUAACGGCUCACCAAGGCUACGAUCGGUAGCUGGUCUGAGAGGAUGAUCAGCCACACUGGAACUGAGACACGGUCCAGACUCCUACGGGAGGCAGCAGUGGGGAAUAUUGGGCAAUGGAGGCAACUCUGACCCAGCCAUGCCGCGUGGGUGACGAAGGUCUUCGGAUUAGUAAAG
rnacentral:rRNA from 1 species